UGGGCGUAAGCGCGCGCAGGCGGUUUCUUAAGUCUGAUGUGAAAGCCCACGGCUCAACCGUGGAGGGUCAUUGGAAACUGGGGAACUUGAGUGCAGAAGAGAAAAGCGGAAUUCCACGUGUAGCGGUGAAAUGCGUAGAGAUGUGGAGGAACACCAGUGGCGAAGGCGGCUUUUUGGUCUGUAACUGACGCUGAGGCGCGAAAGCGUGGGGAGCAAACAGGAUUAGAUACCCUGGUAGUCCACGCCGUAAACGAUGAGUGCUAAGUGUUAGAGGGUUUCCGCCCUUUAGUGCUGCAGCUAACGCAUUAAGCACUCCGCCUGGGGAGUACGGUCGCAAGACUGAAACUCAAAGGAAUUGACGGGGGCCCGCACAAGCGGUGGAGCAUGUGGUUUAAUUC
rnacentral:rRNA from 2 species